AAAGAGGGAAAGAAUAGAAAAACCCAAAGGAGGAAAAAUUCAAGAGAAAUUCAUUGGAUUUUCAAAAAACGAAGCGAUCGGAGGUGGUGAGCCCUCUAAUAAGGGGAAGGAUAUCGUACUUGAGGACCAAGAGUAGGAGUACUCCCGUUAUAGUUCAGAGCAGUCUGUAGAUAAUCGAUUUUGUCGAAGGUUUGCUUUUAGAUUUGCACCUUUAGAAAUCGUAAGUCUACAAUCCGGUUUAUUUUUGUUAUUUUGGGGCUCACAUGUCAUUGUAAAAUAUUUUUGUAUACCCUGGCGCUGUGUGCUAUUAUGUAUAUGAGUUUAUUUUGUUACUAUGCUAUAGUAA
rnacentral:sRNA from 1 species